rnacentral:rRNA from 1 species
UACGUAGGGUGCGAGCGUUGUCCGGAUUUAUUGGGCGUAAAGGGUGCGUAGGCGGCUUUUUAAGUUUGGUGUGAAAUCUCCCGGCUCAACUGGGAGGGUGCGCCGAAUACUGAGAGGCUAGAGUGCGGGAGAGGAAAGUGGAAUUCCUGGUGUAGCGGUGAAAUGCGUAGAUAUCGGAAGGAACACCAGUGGCGAAAGCGGCUUCCUGGUCCAGCACCGACGUUCAGGCACGAAAGCGUGGGGAGCAAACAGG